AUGCAUUCCUGGAGACGCCGUACCAGCCUCACCUUCAGUAAAAAGACACUAGGCAUGGAUGAAGAUGUGUGUGAAAAGGAUGGUAAAUCAAGAGAUCUCACCUACAAAGUUGACAGAAUUUGGAUAGAACACCCAGGCAUUGGUGUGAAAGAAGUCAGAAUUGAGUUCUAUGAUAACAAGACCAGGGCAUGUUUUCUUGAUCGCUGGCUUCAGAUUGCCGUCACACCUGGGAUUGAAGAACUCACUGUUAUUCCUUCUAUGGGCCAUAAAAGGUACAACUUCCCAUGGUCACUUUUAUCUGAAGGAAGUGGAAACUCGAUUCGGUGUCUGUUCCUUUCCAGGUGUGUGUUCUGUCCAACAGUCGGACUUGGCUUGAGAAGUUUGACUCAAAUUAGGCUGUGUUAUGUCCAUAUUACAGGAAAUGAGCUAGCCUGCCUUCUAGCCAAUUCUUUUGCUUUGCAGCAGUUGGGACUCAGCCAUUGCAGCAAGAUAAUUAGACUGAAGAUACCUUCCCUGCUGCAGCGGCUCAUCACCCUUGAAGUGUCUGCAUGUAAGAGGCUGCAGACAAUAGAGAUUGAAGCUCAAUGUUUAUCCAAAUUUUGGUUUACUGGUGAGUGGCUAGUACAACUCUCGUUUGGAGAAGCAUUGCAAUUGAAGACCCUAGACAUGCACUGUCAUGGUGCUGUCUGUGAGGCUCGUGCCAAUCUUCCGUCCACCUUUCCAAAUCUUGAAACACUUUCUGUAUUUUCAAAUUUUGAGAUGGUCAAUACACCGAUGGUCGGUAGCAAAUUUCCAUUCCUCAAGCACUUGACUGUUAAACUUGCUGCAGCCCCAGCCUAUGAUUAUUGUUCUCUUAUAUCAUUUUUUGAUGCUUCUCCUUCCUUGGAGACGUUCUUCUUGAAUGGGUUCCAGGCAAGCAUGCAACAUCCAUCCAUUUUGGCAGAUCCUUCAGGUCGGAGGCGGAUGCCGAAGCACUGCCAUGACAAGCUCAGGAAUGUGACUAUUGCUGGUUUCUCCUCUGCAAAGAGCUUGGUUGAGCUAACAUGUCAUAUUCUUGAGAGUUCAGAGUCACUUGAGUGUCUUACAUUGGACGCCACAGAAGGAUAUGAUUACCUUAGGUGUUCUGUCAAUAGAUCUGGCAAAUGCUUCUGCAUGCGCAGGGAUGCCAUCUUGGAGGCUCGUCGUGGGCUCUUGGCUAUCAAGACAUACAUCGAGGGAAUUGUUCCACCGAAAGUGAAGUUCACUGUUGUGGAGCCUUGCAGCCAGUGCCAUGUUGUUGAGCUUUAG
rnacentral:rRNA from 1 species